AGGGAAUUUUGGACAAUGGGCGAAAGCCUGAUCCAGCAAUGCCGCGUGUGUGAAGAAGGCCUGCGGGUUGUAAAGCACUUUCAGUUGGGAAGAAAAGUUUUAGGUUAAUAUCCUAUAAUUUUGACGUUACCAAUAGAAGAAGCACCGGCUAACUCUGUGCCAGCAGCCGCGGUAAUACAGAGGGUGCGAGCGUUAAUCGGAAUUACUGGGCGUAAAGCGUAUGUAGGCGGCUAGGUAAGUUGGAUGUGAAAGCCCAAGGCUUAACCUUGGAAUUGCAUUCGAUACUGCCUAGCUAGAGUAUAGUAGAGGAAAGCGGAAUUCCUAGUGUAGCGGUGAAAUGCGUAGAUAUUAGGAGGAACACCAGUGGCGAAGGCGGCUUUCUGGACUGAUACUGACGCUGAGGUACGAAAGCGUGGGGAGCAAACA
rnacentral:rRNA from 1 species